CGAUGAACCACUUCGGUGGGGAUUAGUGGCGAACGGGUGAGUAACACGUGGGCAAUCUGCCCUGCACUCUGGGACAAGCCCUGGAAACGGGGUCUAAUACCGGAUACGAGUCUCGCGGGCAUCCGUGAGGCUGGAAAGCUCCGGCGGUGCAGGAUGAGCCCGCGGCCUAUCAGCUUGUUGGUGAGGUAACGGCUCACCAAGGCGACGACGGGUAGCCGGCCUGAGAGGGCGACCGGCCACACUGGGACUGAGACACGGCCCAGACUCCUACGGGAGGCAGCAGUGGGGAAUAUUGCACAAUGGGCGCAAGCCUGAUGCAGCGACGCCGCGUGAGGGAUGACGGCCUUCGGGUUGUAAACCUCUUUCAGCAGGGAAGAAGCGCAAGUGACGGUACCUGCAGAAGAAGCGCCGGCUAACUACGUGCCAGCAGCCGCGGUAAUACGUAGGGCGCGAGCGUUGUCCGGAAUUAUUGGGCGUAAAGAGCUCGUAGGCGGCUUGUCGCGUCGGUUGUGAAAGCCCGGGGCUUAACUCCGGGUCUGCAGUCGAUACGGGCAGGCUAGAGUUCGGUAGGGGAGAUCGGAAUUCCUGGUGUAGCGGUGAAAUGCGCAGAUAUCAGGAGGAACACCGGUGGCGAAGGCGGAUCUCUGGGCCGAUACUGACGCUGAGGAGCGAAAGCGUGGGGAGCGAACAGGAUUAGAUACCCUGGUAGUCCACGCCGUAAACGGUGGGCACUAGGUGUGGGCGACAUUCCACGUCGUCCGUGCCGCAGCUAACGCAUUAAGUGCCCCGCCU
rnacentral:rRNA from 1 species